rnacentral:misc_RNA from 1 species
AAGAGACGUUGCCCUUCGGGGUCGACCUCCCACCCUAUGUUUAUCAUACCUCUGUUGCUUUGGCAGGCCCGUCUUCGGACCACCGGCUCCGGCCGGUCCGUGCCUGCCAGGGGACCUAAAACUCUGAAUAUCAGUGUCGUCUGAGUACUAUACAAUAGUUA